CCCAAAGUGGAAUACGUCAAUAACGGCGAGUGAAGCGGUAAGAGCUCAAAUUUGAAAGCUGGCUCCUUCGGGGUCCGCAUUGUAAUUUGCAGAGGAUGUUUCGGGAGCAGCCCCCAUCUAAGUGUCCUGGAACGGACCGUCAUAGAGGGUGAGAAUCCCGUAUGGGAUGGGGUGUCUGCGCCCAUGUGAAACUCCUUCGACGAGUCGAGUUGUUUGGGAAUGCAGCUCUAAAUGGGUGGUAAAUUUCAUCUAAAGCUAAAUAUUGGCCGGAGACCGAUAGCGCACAAGUAGAGUGAUCGAAAGAUGAAAAGCACUUUGAAAAGAGAGUUAAAAAGCACGUGAAAUUGUUGAAAGGGAAGCGCUUGCGAUCAGACUCGCCUUGGGGGUUCAGCCGGCAUUCGUGCCGGUGUACUUCCCCCAGGGCGGGCCAGCGUCGGUUUGGGUGGCCGGUCAAAGGCCCUUGGAAUGUAACGCCUCUCGGGGCGUCUUAUAGCCAAGGGUGCCAUGCGGCCUACCUGGACCGAGGAACGCGCUUCGGCUCGGACGCUGGCAUAAUGGUCGUAAGCGACCCGUCUUGAAACACGGACCAAAA
rnacentral:rRNA from 1 species